rnacentral:rRNA from 1 species
AGAAUCAACGCUGGCGGCGUGCCUCAGACAUGCAAGUCGAACGCGAAAGUCCCCUUCGGGGGACAAGUAGAGUGGCGCACGGGUGAGUAACACGUAGGUAAUCUACCUUCGGGUGGGGAAUAACAACCGGAAACGGUUGCUAAUACCGCAUAAUGCAGCGGCACCUAAUGGUGACAGUUGUUAAAGCGGGGGAUCGCAAGAUCUCGCGCCUGAAGAGGAGCCUGCGGCGGAUUAGCUAGUUGGUAGGGUAAUGGCCUACCAAGGCGACGAUCCGU